CAGGCCACCGCAAGUCUUUGGCUUCACAAACGGUUAUGGUUAAUCUUUCAAUCAUCGGAUUGUAACAAAGGCUCACAUUUAUUUCACCAGAUUCAGAUGGAGGCUUAUUAAAGCAAUUGAGUUAACAGAAACAGAAAUACAGUCUCGCCAAAGAAGUGGAGGAUUAGACGAAAUGAAGUCAAGAUCUUUCAGCUUAACGAUAACGUGGCCAAUUACAUUGUGUCUUUUUCCUCUAUCGUUGUCCAAUACUGUUAAUCGAAGUGAAUUAUCUUGAACUGAUUUAUUUGGAACCUAAAUUGUUACAGAAAAAAAACAAUACACCGAGGGAACAAUUUAAUCAGAAAUAUCAAUCGUCAAAUAUCAAUUGUCCAAAUCACCAUAAUCAAAGAUUAUUUUCACCGAGAUAAAUUGAACUAUCACACUUUUCCAUGGACAGAUUAACUUUCAAAUGACAACGGAAAACAUUCAAUUUGUUGGCAUUUAUAUUAAGAUGAAUAAGUGUUUGGUUCCAUUGAUGUAAACGUGAUUGGGAAAAAUUGGAUCAACAACAAUCAUUAGAUAAUUAUGAUGAAUUUACUGGAGGUGAAAUUAAAUUUGUUGAAACUAAAUUGAAUAACUUUCAGUGUUCAACAAAAACUCAACUCUUUCCAUGUUUAGAUAGACACUCAACAAUAUUCAGUUACAAUAUCGUUAACAUGAUUAUGUUAUUUUCCUUUCAGACUCUAUUCAGUUCAUUCAUCGAUUCAACAAAGACCAGAGUUAACAAUUAAAACCACUGAAGUGAAAUCACUGGUAAACGUAAACUGUAAUUCACCUCAACAAUUAUGUAAAUAUUAACUUUUACCUGAAUCAGAAUUUCCCUACAUGGAGAUUAUUGGAAUUAGUAAUUUUCUGAUCGAAAAAUUGGAAAAAUUGUUCUUUUUUCUCUUUUUUAUUCCAGUCUUCAUGUAGAGAUAAACUGUAGAUAGAUUCACUAAUCUAAUAGAAUCUAAAGAUUUCGUUUCGAUGGAUAAGCCAACAAUUAAUUUCUAUUCCAAAUGUUUGACAUUUCUAAGAACUUUUUAAUCUGAUUGUUUGGCCGAUUCUUAUUCCAUUUUAUUUUUUCAUCUCUUUUCUACAAUUAUCUACAUUUACUAUUAUCAUGAAACAUCGUCUAUGGACUUUGGUCCAUUUAAAGGUCUUCUUUUUAACUUUAGAUUGAACAUAUCGCCUUCCAUCGGGCAAAAGGUAAAUUCUGGCAACCAUGAAAUGAGAAAUAUGUCCAAUCAUGAGUGUUAAUCAUCAUCAUUAUCAAUGGGUAAAUGAUUAUCGUUUAUAAGGAGAAACAAAAAAUAACAGAAUCCAAAUGAAGAUACAAAAUAAAUUUCAAAGAAUUUGGAUUCUUGCUGAGGAAUAAAGUGAUUAGCUGGGAGUAAAGAAAUGGUAACAAAUCUCAAGUCAACGUGAUCGAAUUGAUAUAAUGAUAAGAAUAGAAAAAGUUCUAAUGUUUUUUUCGAUUUCAUGUUAGAUCAAGAAGAAGAGAAAAAAAACAAGAAUCGAAGAAGUUGUUCUAAGGUUCGUUUUAAUCUGUCAUCUAAAAUGUUCCAUGGGAAGAGUUGUCAUCAUCUCUGUCGAAAAUGUUAUCAAGAACUAACUUAUUGUUCUUCUCUCCAAAGACUAAUUCUUUUUUUAUUUUCUCUUUUUCUCUAUUUUUCUAUUCUUAGGAUCUUACAAUUGGUUAGUAAUUGGAUGUUCGACAUGUUACUCUCUCAUACUUGCGUAUUUAUGUGUACCUAUUUCAAUUAUUUCGUCAACAUGAUUAACUCCCUGAGAAUCAGCAAUAUCUUUACAUUGAAAAGGCAGGAAGAAGAUCUCAAACUAUUAUUAUGAUGACGAGGAAAAUGUUGCAGAGAUUAUCAUGAUUAUGUGCUCAUUGGCUUUUUGAUAUUUGAUAAAAUGAAUACCCAUGAAUCCAGACUGAUUUGGGUGUAAAUGGAAUGCUGAUUAAAUCAGUAUUAUAUUCUGGUUCAAUAAUAUUUGAUUAUCGUAGAUUUAUUUACUCUACCAUGGUUAAUAUUGUAUUAAUAUAUUUAAAUCAAUCAACUUUAUUUGAGUUAUACUAACCUGACAAAUGGGUCGGAACAAUUUACUGAUCCUUUUACCCUUGAGGGUAAAUUUUUGAUCUUCAGUAAACUGAUGAUCAACUCCACCGAUACGAUAAAGUUCAGGAUUUAAUCCACCCAACAAAGAGGAUCUUGGUCUUUCCAGUUGAUUGUCACCACCAAGUUUACUCGAUCCACUUUCAACAACUUCCGAACCACCAGAUUUUGUGAUGAU